UGGGGGGAUUUGGGGGGUUUUGAAGGAUUUUGGGGGGAUUUGGAAGUUUUUGGGGUUUUUGGGGGUUUUUGGGGUUUUUGGGGGGGAUUUUGAGGAGCUUUAGGGUGAAAAAGGGAUUUUUUGGGUGGAAUUUUGGAUUUUUUUUAGGGGUUUUUUUUUUGGGUUGGGGUCUCCGAAUUUUUUAACUGAAUUUUUUUUUGGGGGGGGGGGUCCCCAAUAAUCGGAAUUUUCCCCCAAUUCAGGGACCCCCGAGGGACAGGCGAGGCCCCCCCUGGGGCUCUGGAGGGAAUCCAGCCUGGAUUCGCCCGCCAAGGCGCACAGCUCCACCCUGCCCCGCAAUUACAAGCUCUCCUCCCCUUUAAUCCCAUUUUUAACCCAUUUUACCCCAUUUUUACCCCAUUUUUAACCCUUUUAACCCCAUUUUUAACCCAUUUUCCCCCGUUUUUAACCCUUUCAGGCGCACAGCUCCAUCCUGCCCCGCAAUUACAAGCUCUCCUCCUCUUUAAUCCCAUUUUUAACCCAUUUUACCCCAUUUCCACCCCAUUUUUAACCCUUUCAAACCCAUUUUUCCCCAUUUUUUCCCAUUUUUAACCCGUUUUUCCCCCGUUUUUAACCCUUUCAGGCGCACAGCUCCACCCUGCCCCGCAAUUACAAGCUCUCCUCCCCUUUAAUCCCAUUUUUAACCCAUUUUACCCCAUUUUUAACCCUUUCAAACCCAUUUUUUCCCUUUUUCACCCAAUUUUAACCCAUUUUCCCCCAUUUUUAACCCUUUCAGGCGCACAGCUCCACCCUGCCCCACAAUUACAAGCUCUCCUCCCCUUUAAUCCCAUUUUUAACCCUUUUAACCCCAUUUUUAACCCAUUUUUACCCCAUUUUUAACCCAUUUUCCCCCGUUUUUAACCCUUUCAGGCGCACAGCUCCACCCUGCCCCGCAAUUACAAGCUCUCCUCCUCUUUAAUCCCAUUUUUAACCCUUUUAAAACCCAUUUUUAACCCAUUUUACCCCAUUUCCACCCCAUUUUUAACCCUUUCAAACCCAUUUUUUCCAUUUUUCACCCGUUUUUCACCCGAUUU
rnacentral:lncRNA from 1 species